UAGACGGAAGUUCUUUGGAAAUGCCAAAGUGCUUUGAGAUCCAGAAAGCACAUCACUAACCACAGCAGCCAACCUCCAAGAUGGCCUCCAGAGACCCUCCCUGCUAGUAUUUACAACCUCAUAUGGCCUCUUCCGACUCCAAGUAGCCUGGGCGACGACAGGAUAGUGUGGAAAAGGCAGAGGGUGACUUCCCAGCGAGGCCACAAGAGGCAGGGACUUCCUCCUUGUGCCCGUGGGCCACCCAUCCUGUCAUGGAGAUGCUCAAGCAGCCCAUGGACACGGCCAGGUGAGAGGAGCUGGGGCCCAGCCAGCAGUGGCUGGUACUGAUGCAUGGGCCGCCUUGGAGGAGGGGAUCCUCUGCCCCAGGAGCCGUGGCUGGGGGCGCCUCCCGUGGGGGCCACCGUGAUGGUGUCAGGCGGGGGCUUCCCUAUGAACACAGGGUGCCAGCCUGGGUCUCACACACCAGCAGCCCCCAAACUUACUUGGAUUUCCCAUCAGCCGCCUUCCCAGAGCAGGGGCCAGAUGAGGGGCUCGGAAGCCCCCUCCCUGCCUCCCCCCGAUCCAAUCAUUGCCCCUGUUUGGACAGGGAAAAGGCCCUCACUGGUUUUCCCCAGUCCACAGCUUAUACCAAUAAAGUCUGUGUUCUCACUCAAAAACCCUUUCUUUCUCAGAAAGCUCUGCUCUCGCAAAAGAAAUCCUCUGCGCUUUCAGAAUAUUGCCUCUGCUGUGAGUUUUUAAAAAUUCAUCCAGAAAGUCAA